AGAUAAUUUCUCCUAAAUAAACAUGAGACUAUGUAACUUUGGUCGCAUAUUCUGCCAGAUAUCUGUAUUUUCGAUACUGCAAAUACUAUGAGAACUGAUUAAUGUAAUACGUAGGAAAUUUAGAGCAUUUUGUAACAUGUAUCUUGAGGGUACUGUGGAGUUCAGGAUAUGGUCCUAAUUCAAUCCGGUGUGCUGUGGUGUCUACCUGCCUAAAUUAAAUUCAGCUGUAAGACGGAUUAUCGCCAUAUGACGAGAUUCAAAAGCAGAUGGCCUAAAUUGAUAGCAAGACACUCCACAGUUCAGGAAAGUGAACAGCAUUACGAGGGGGUUACGAUGAGAUGUCCCACUUUUUGUUCUGUGAAACCAUGAAAAUAAUUAUGAUGAUUAUUAGCAGUUGUUUGUCCCUUCAGACGGUAUUGCAACAUAUAUUUUUGCAAAUACAUCAUACGUACAUCAGAGUACAUAGAUGGUAUGCAUUUUCUUACAGAUUUUGUAUUUGAUCAUUGAGGGUGGAAUUUAAUAUCUGUCGAUUCUCUGUUACUUACAGAAUAAAAGUAUGGAUGCUCA